AGUGAACGCUGGCGGCGUGCUUAACACAUGCAAGUCGAACGAGAACGGGAUAUAGCUUGCUAUAUUUGUCAGCUAAGUGGCGCACGGGUGAGUAAUGUAUAGAUAACCUGCCCUCUAGAAAGGAAUAACAGUUGGAAACGACUGCUAAUGCCCUAUAUGCCCUUAAUACAUAAGUAUGCAAGGGAAACGCUUUAGUGCUAGAGGAUGGGCCUGUAUGGUAUCAGCUUGUUGGUGAGGUAAUGGCUCACCAAGGCUAUGACGCCUAACUGGUUUGAGAGGAUGAUCAGUCACACUAGAACUGAGACACGGUCCAGACUCCUACGGGAGGCAGCAGUGGGGAAUAUUGCACAAUGGACGAAAGUCUGAUGCAGCAACGCCGCGUGGAGGAUGACACAUUUCGGUGCGUAAACUCCUUUUAUAUAGGAAGAUAAUGACGGUACUAUAUGAAUAAGCACCGGCUAACUCCGUGCCAGCCGCCGCGGUAA
rnacentral:rRNA from 1 species